UGCUGCUGCAGGAAACUGGGUUGAUGAGAGCAGUUGAAACUGAGUCAAAAAGUGAAGUCUUAAAACCAAAACAAUGAGCAGAGAGAGGUUACAACGGUUCGCAGGGCUGAGAGGAACUGUAAAGUCAACCAUCCUGUAUCCUGUAUUCAGUUCCCUGUUCCUGUUCCUGUGGUUUAGACUUUCCGCCUGUUUUUGACCUGGCUGCCUGCCUUGCCCCUUUGGACAUGUUUAUAUGUUUUGGACUGCCUUCCUGUUACUAAUCUGUAAGUCUGUCUUUUGGAUUUAAUUUAUUAAAGCCCUUCUCAUUUGAUCUGUC